UGGGGAAUAUUGCACAAUGGGCGCAAGCCUGAUGCGGCCAUGCCGCGUGUGUGAAGAAGGCCUUCGGGUUGUAAAGCACUUUCAGCGGGGAGGAAGGCGAUAAGGUUAAUAACCUUGUCGAUUGACGUUACCCGCAGAAGAAGCACCGGCUAACUCCGUGCCAGCAGCCGCGGUAAUACGGAGGGUGCAAGCGUUAAUCGGAAUUACUGGGCGUAAAGCGCACGCAGGCGGUUGAUUGAGUCAGAUGUGAAAUCCCCGGGCUUAACCCGGGAAUUGCAUCUGAUACUGGUCAGCUAGAGUCUUGUAGAGGGGGGUAGAAUUCCAUGUGUAGCGGUGAAAUGCGUAGAGAUGUGGAGGAAUACCGGUGGCGAAGGCGGCCCCCUGGACAAAGACUGACGCUCAGGUGCGAAAGCGUGGGGAGCAAACAGG
rnacentral:rRNA from 1 species